UACGUAGGGUGCAAGCGUUAAUCGGAAUUACUGGGCGUAAAGCGUGCGCAGGCGGUUGUGUAAGACAGAUGUGAAAUCCCCGGGCUCAACCUGGGAACUGCAUUUGUGACUGCACAGCUGGAGUGCGGCAGAGAGGGAUGGAAUUCCGCGUGUAGCAGUGAAAUGCGUAGAUAUGCGGAGGAACACCGAUGGCGAAGGCAAUCCCCUGGGCCUGCACUGACGCUCAUGCACGAAAGCGUGGGGAGCAAACAGG
rnacentral:rRNA from 1 species